UACGGAGGAUGCAAGCGUUAUCCGGAAUGAUUGGGCGUAAAGCGUCUGCAGGUGGCGAUGUAAGUCUGCUGUUAAAGAGUGAGGCUCAACCUCAUAAGAGCAGUGGAAACUACAUAGCUAGAGUACGUUCGGGGCAGAGGGAAUUCCUGGUGUAGCGGUGAAAUGCGUAGAGAUCGGAAAGAACACCAACGGCGAAAGCGCUCUGCUGGGCCGACACUGACACUGAGAGACGAAAGCUAGGGGAGCGAAUGGG
rnacentral:rRNA from 1 species